CCUACGGGUGACAGCAGUGAGGAAUAUUGGUCAAUGGGCGCGAGCCUGAACCAGCCAAGUAGCGUGAAGGAUGAAUGCCCUACGGGUUGUAAACUUCUUUUGUGCGGGAGCAAUAAUGGUCACUUGUGGCCAGAUGAGAGUACCGUAAGAAUAAGCAUCGGCUAACUCCGUGCCAGCAGCCGCGGUAAUACGGGGGAUGCAAGCGUUAUCCGGAUUUAUUGGGUUGAAAGGGUGCGGAGGCUGGGAGGUAAGUCAGCGGUGAAAGGCCCCCGGUCAACGGGGUGAAGUGCCAUUGAAACUGGCUUGCUGGAGUGCGGAUGGCGUGGGAGGAAUGUGUGGUGUAGCGGUGAAAUGCAUAGAUAUCACGCAGAACACCGAUUGCGAAGGCAUCUCACGGGUCCGCGAUUGACGCUGAUGCACGAAAGCGUGGGUAUCAAACAGGAUUAGAUACCCGAGUAGUC
rnacentral:rRNA from 1 species